UACUCAGUGAUAUGAUUGAGA
rnacentral:siRNA from 1 species